rnacentral:rRNA from 1 species
AGUGAACGCUGGCGGUAGGCCUAACACAUGCAAGUCGAACGGCAGCACAGGAGAGCUGGCUCUCUGGGUGGCGAGUGGCGGACGGGUGAGGAAUACAUCGGAAUCUACUCUGUCGUGGGGGAAAACGUAGGGAAACUUACGGUAAUACCGCAUACGACCUACGGGAGAAAGCAGGGGACCUUCCGGCCUUGCUGGAUUGAAUGAGGCGAUGUCGGAUUAGCUAGUUGGCGGGGUAAAGGGCCACCAAGGCGGCGAUCCGUGGCUGGGCUGAGAGGAUGAUCAGCCACACUGGAACUGAGACACGGUCCAGACUCCUACGGGAGGCAGCAGUGGGGAAUAUUGGACAAUGGGCGCAAGCCUGAUCCAGCCAUACCGCGUGGGUGAAGAAGGCCUUCGGGUUGUAAAGCCCUUUUGUUGGGAAAGAAAUCCAGCUGGCUAACACCCGGUUGGGAUGACGGUACCCAAAGAAUAAGCACCGGCUAACUUCGUGCCAGCAGCCGCCGUAA